AACAUGGUUUUCCCGACUCUGUCGGGACAGAGUGACAGGUGCUGCAUGGCUGUCGUCAGCUCGUGUCGUAAGAUGUUGGGUUAAGUCCCGCAACGAGCGCAACCCUUGUCUUUAGUUGCCAGUAUUAAGUUAGGCACUCUAAAGAGACUGCCUCGGUUAACGAGGAGGAAGGUGGGGAUGACGUCAAGUCNUCAUGGCCUUUAUACCCAGGGCUACACACGUGCUACAAUGGGCUGUACAAAGGGUCGCUAUCCCGCGAGGGGGAGCUAAUCCCAAAAAGCAGUUCUCAGUUCGGAUUGGAGUCUGCAACUCGACUUCAUGAAGUCGGAAUCGCUAGUAAUCGUGGAUCAGCAUGCCACGGUGAAUACGUUCCCGGGCCUUGUACACACCGCCCG
rnacentral:rRNA from 1 species